ACACAACUGAUGAGUUUAAAAUAAGAUGAAACACGCGUCUUGGAU
rnacentral:hammerhead_ribozyme from 1 species